CCAGCCAACUGCAGUCGAGAUUCCUACGGGAGGCAGCAGUGGGGAAUCUUGCACAAUGGAGGAAACUCUGAUGCAGCGAUGCCGCGUGAGUGAAGAAGGCCUUUGGGUUGUAAAGCUCUUUCGUCGGGGAAGAAAAUGACUGUACCCGAAUAAGAAGGUCCGGCUAACUUCGUGCCAGCAGCCGCGGUAAUACGAAGGGACCUAGCGUAGUUCGGAAUUACUGGGCUUAAAGAGUUCGUAGGUGGUUGAAAAAGUUGGUGGUGAAAUCCCAGAGCUUAACUCUGGAACUGCCAUCAAAACUUUUCAGCUAGAGUUUGAUAGAGGAAAGCAGAAUUUCUAGUGUAGAGGUGAAAUUCGUAGAUAUUAGAAAGAAUACCAAUUGCGAAGGCAGCUUUCUGGAUCAUUACUGACACUGAGGAACGAAAGCAUGGGUAGCGAAGAGGAUUAGAUACCCUCGUAGUCCAUGCCGUAAACGAUGUGUGUUAGACGUUGGAAAUUUAUUUUCAGUGUCGCAGCGAAAGCGAUAAACACACCGCCUGGGGAGUACGACCGCAAGGUUAAAACUCAAAGGAAUUGACGG
rnacentral:rRNA from 1 species